ACAAAAAACCUGAAGACGACUGAAGGCUUUUGCACUGGUUUCUCCAUGGGUGGGGAUUUGUUGCAUUACUUGUAGCUAUGUUUAGAGUAUUGCACUUGUCCCGGCCUGUGGAGGAAAGGAGGACUUGUCGUCAGGUCUCUCUUAAAGCUGCCCAGGUGGUUAUGCUUUGUUUUGCUGUUGUCGGGUGGAUCACGAUGCAAUUUUGAUUAGUUUAGAAGGAGAAAAAUUGCACGGUAUCCAUCUGUAAACCGCAGGACCUUCAUCGCUGACAAUGUCACUUUUGUCAGUACUUGGAAGGGCACGAAAACGGUUGCAAGUGCGCAGAGUGGCCAAGGUCUUGUGGGAGACCUUAGGAAGCAUCGUUUUACCGGGGGUAUUUAUUUCAGAAACCUAGAAGGUGGAUUCUCUCCGAGGAAUCCACGUGGUGGAGACGGUUUAGGCAGAAACUUCUUGUA